GAAAAGUAAGAUUUACAAAUAAGUCAACAUGACUGAAAUGGUCAAUUGACCCCCUAAGGAGUUAUUGUCCUUUAUAGUCAAUUUUUAAAAAUUUUCAUAAAAUUUGUAAAUUUUUACUUACAUUUUCCACUGAAACUACUUGGCCAAGUUCAUUAUAGAUAGAGAUAAUUGUAAGCAGCAAGAAUGUUCAGUAAAGUAAGAUGUACAAACACAUCACCAUCACCAAAACACAAUUUUGUCAUGAAUCUAUCUGCAUCCUUUGUUUAAUAUUCACAUAUACCAAGGUGAGCGACACAGGCUCUUUAGAGCCUCUAGUUUUUU
rnacentral:lncRNA from 1 species